rnacentral:rRNA from 1 species
CCUACGGGCGGCAGCAGUGGGGAAUAUUGGACAAUGGGGGCAACCCUGAUCCAGCCAUGCCGCGUGUGUGAAGAAGGCCCUCGGGUUGUAAAGCACUUUCAGUGAGGAAGAACGCCUGGUGGUUAAUACCCAUCAGGAAAGACAUCACUCACAGAAGAAGCACCGGCUAACUCCGUGCCAGCAGCCGCGGUAAUACGGAGGGUGCGAGCGUUAAUCGGAAUUACUGGGCGUAAAGCGCGCGUAGGUGGCUUGAUAAGCCGGUUGUGAAAGCCCCGGGCUCAACCUGGGAACGGCAUCCGGAACUGUCAAGCUAGAGUGCAGGAGAGGAAGGUAGAAUUCCCGGUGUAGCGGUGAAAUGCGUAGAGAUCGGGAGGAAUACCAGUGGCGAAGGCGGCCUUCUGGACUGACACUGACACUGAGGUGCGAAAGCGUGGGUAGCAAACAGGAUUAAAUACUCUAGUAGUC